rnacentral:tRNA from 1 species
GAGGGUAUAGCUUGGCGGUAGAGUGCACGCUUAGCAUGCAUGAGGUCCUGGGUUCAAUACCCAGUACCUAUU